rnacentral:tRNA from 1 species
GGGGGCAUAGCUCAGUGGUAGAGCAUCCGACUGCAGAUCGUAUUGUCCCCGGUUAAAACCCGGGUGCCCCCU